AGUGAACGCUGGCGGUAGGCCUAACACAUGCAAGUCGAACGGCAGCACAGUAAGAGCUUGCUCUUACGGGUGGCGAGUGGCGGACGGGUGAGGAAUACAUCGGAAUCUACUUUUUCGUGGGGGAUAACGUAGGGAAACUUACGCUAAUACCGCAUACGACCUACGGGUGAAAGCAGUGGAUCUUCGGACCUUGCGCGAUUGAAUGAGCCGAUGUCGGAUUAGCUAGUUGGCGGGGUAAAGGCCCACCAAGGCGACGAUCCGUAGCUGGUCUGAGAGGAUGAUCAGCCACACUGGAACUGAGACACGGUCCAGACUCCUACGGGAGGCAGCAGUGGGGAAUAUUGGACAAUGGGCGCAAGCCUGAUCCAGCCAUACGGCGUGGGUGAAGAAGGCCUUCGGGUUGUAAAGCCCUUUUGUUGGGAAAGAAAAGCAGCAGGUUAAUACCCCGCUGUUCUGACGGUACCCAAAGAAUAAGCACCGGCUAACUUCGUG
rnacentral:rRNA from 1 species